UACGUAGGGUGCAAGCGUUAAUCGGAAUUACUGGGCGUAAAGCGUGCGCAGGCGGUUUUGUAAGUCUGACGUGAAAUCCCCGGGCUCAACCUGGGAAUUGCGUUGGAGACUGCAAGGCUAGAAUCUGGCAGAGGGGGGUAGAAUUCCACGUGUAGCAGUGAAAUGCGUAGAUAUGUGGAGGAACACCGAUGGCGAAGGCAGCCCCCUGGGUCAAGAUUGACGCUCAUGCACGAAAGGCGUGGG
rnacentral:rRNA from 1 species